CUCUAGCCCGGAUUGGAAUGACAUCCUUUUUUCAUUGCCAUGGGUUUUAACCCUCGGCAAUGAAAAAAGAUAUAAUGGAAAGCCGGACACAGC
rnacentral:ncRNA from 2 species